AUUGAACGCUGGCGGCAGGCCUAACACAUGCAAGUCGAACGAGUGGCGGACGGGUGAGUAAUGUCUGGGAAACUGCCUGAUGGAGGGGGAUAACUACUGGAAACGGUAGCUAAUACCGCAUACCCUCAGAUGUGCCCAGAUGGGAUUAGCUAGUGGGUGGGGUAACGGCUCACCUAGACGACGUACCCUAGCUGGUCUGAGAGGAUGACCAGCCAAACUGGAACGGGGACACGGUCCAGACUCCUACGGGAGGCAGCAGUGGGGAAUAUUGCACAAUGGGCGCAAGCCUGAUGCAGCCAUGCCGCGUGUAUGAAGAAGGCCUUGGGGUUGUAAAGUACUUUCAGCGGGGAGGCGUUACCCGCAGAAGAAGCACCGGCUAACUCCGUGCCAGCAGCCGCGGUAAUUC
rnacentral:rRNA from 1 species